rnacentral:rRNA from 1 species
UACGUAGGGGCCAAGCGUUGUCCGGAUUUAUUGGGCGUAAAGAGCGUGUAGGCGGCCAGACAGGUCAGCUGUGAAAACUCGAGGCUCAACCUCGAGACGUCGGUUGAAACCGUCUGGCUAGAGUCCGGAAGAGGAGAGUGGAAUUCCCGGUGUAGCGGUGAAAUGCGCAGAUAUCGGGAAGAACACCCGUGGCGAAGGCGGCUCUCUGGGACGGUACUGACGCUGAGACGCGAAAGCGUGGGGAGCGAACAGG